UACGUAGGGUGCAAGCGUUAAUCGGAAUUACUGGGCGUAAAGCGUGCGCAGGCGGUUUUGUAAGACUGUCGUGAAAUCCCCGGGCUUAACCUGGGAAUGGCGAUGGUGACUGCAAGGCUAGAGUUUGGCAGAGGGGGGUAGAAUUCCACGUGUAGCAGUGAAAUGCGUAGAUAUGCGGAGGAACACCGAUGGCGAAGGCAAUCCCCUGGGCCUGCACUGACGCUCAUGCACGAAAGCGUGGGAGCAAACAGG
rnacentral:rRNA from 1 species